rnacentral:lncRNA from 1 species
ACGUUCAGCUGGUGUUCCUUUUCUUGAUGCGUAUUUAACUCCAAAUGUUACCUUCAGUCAUGGAGCGAAUUUUGCUGUUUCUGGUUCAACUGCUUUACCUGUAUCUGUUCUAGCCGAAAAGAAAAUUAUAGCUCCAAUCACAAAUAGUUCUCUAAGUGUACAGCUAGAUUGGAUGUUCUCAUACUUUAAAGGAAGAUGUCGCAAUGGUGAAGGUCAGUGAUAAUAUAUAUAUUAAUUUUGAAUUGGUUUUCUUCUUUUUGUUUCAUCUUCUAUUUCUUCCUAGCAUAUUUGUCGCAAGCCCUCUUAAGGAAAACCAAUAUAUAUGUGCGUUUGAUGCAAUUUUUCAAUUAGGCGAUUCAACAUCAGACACAGGCAAUUUGAUUCAAGAGGAUCCUUCAUCAUCAUGUGUUCGGUUUCCUUAUGGCGAAACAUUUUUCAAGAAACCAACAGGGCGAUGCUCAGAUGGAUUGUUGAUCAUUGAUUAUAUUGGUAAGUUAGCUAAUAUCUCACUUUUUUCUUUACAUGUUCUAUUUUUCUGAAACAAAAUAUUGAUAAAUGAGAAUAAAGAAACUCAAGGUUUCUUGAUAGUUGAACCAUAAUAUUUUUGAGAGGAGAAAAACAACAAAAACCCUAAAGAAAAUUGGAGUAUCUUUUGAGAAAAUUUUUUCAUGAAAUUUGGAAAAUAGAGUUUUAAUUUUAUGUCUGUAAAAUUUAGAAAACAAGUUUAAAUUGUUUUCUAUAGUUUCCUUUAUAACUUGUUUGUUUAGAAAGAUAAUCUUUUCAGGCUUUAUAGAUAAUCAUUUUUUCCCCAUUUUUAAUUUGUUUCAAAUAAUGAUGAUUAUCAUGGUACAUGGUGCUAUCUUUUUUUUUUUUAGUCAGCAAAAUCAAUUUAUUUUUUAAUAUACCUGGAAAAACAUAAUUUGUGAUCUUCUCAACAUUCAUUGUGAUUCUGUUAGAGAUGAAAUUAUGAUAUUUAUACUUUUUUAAAUUAAAAAGUUCUAUUAUUUAGAAUUUUUAUUUGGUAAUUUCCUAUUUAUUUUUGGUAGGAGAUCUGCCAUUUAAUAGUCUUUCUAUUUAGUAGUCCUCUAAUUUAGUAGUUUCCUCUUUUAUUUUUGGUACGAGAUGUAUAUUUAUUUGUCUUUCUAUUUAGUAAUCUUCCUAUUUUAUUUUAUUUCAAAAAAUAAAUUAUUUAAUAUAAAUCAAAUAUAAUUAAAAAAUAAUUAAGUAUUUAAUCUAAAUCAAAUAUAAUUAAAGAAUAAUCAAAUAAAAAAUAAUCAAAUCUUUUUCUAAUUCUAUAAUUUUAUUUAGGAAGAAGGCUCAAAUUUCACCUUGAAUAUACAAGAAGCACAUAUUUCACCUUUCUUGAGAAAUUCAUCAUGAACUUGGGCACAAAACUAGAAAACACCUGUAUUUUAUCUUCGUCAACGAGCGUGUCCUUCAAACUCAGCCAAAAGAGAGUGAGAUUAUUGAUAAAUUAUAGAGCACAAAAUUUACAAUAAAAUAAAUAGAAAUUCAACAAUGGCUGAAGUUCAACAAUAACAGAGAUUCAACAAAAUCUUCAACUCAUUAAAAUUAUAACAAAACCAAAACUAAAUCCCAAAGUUAAGCGGAAGAAAAAUUCCUUUGAUUAAGAUCUUCCGACUAAAUUGAAUUAAUUAAAAAAAAAAAAACAUCAUUAGAGAACCCCAAUGGAUAAAAGAAGUUGUAAACUGAUUUUUUUAUUUAAUGAGUUUUAAAUCAAAUUAUAAUUAUUUUUUAUUUUUUUUUAUUUGAUGAUAUAUUUGACCUUUCUUAUUUGAUUUUCAUUUAAUUACAAAUUCUUACAGCACGUUCAGCUGGUGUUCCUUUUCUUGAUGCGUAUUUAACUCCAAAUGUUACCUUCAGUCAUGGAGCGAAUUUUGCUGUUUCUGGUUCAACUGCUUUACCUGUAUCUGUUCUAGCCGAAAAGAAAAUUAUAGCUCCAAUCACAAAUAGUUCUCUAAGUGUACAGCUAGAUUGGAUGUUCUCAUACUUUAAAGGAAGAUGUCGCAAUGGUGAAGGUCAG